AGCGAACGCUGGCGGCAGGCCUAACACAUGCAAGUCGAACGAACCUUUCGGGGUUAGUGGCGGACGGGUGAGUAACACGUGGGAACGUGCCUUUAGGUUCGGAAUAACUCAGGGAAACUUGUGCUAAUACCGAAUGUGCCCUUCGGGGGAAAGAUUAAUCGCCUUUAGAGCGGCCCGCGUCUGAUUAGCUAGUUGGUUGAGGUAAUGGCUCACCAAGGCGACGAUCAGUAGCCGGUCUGAGAGGAUGAUCAGCCACAUUGGGACUGCGACACGGCCCAAACUCCUACGGGAGGCAGCAGUGGGGAAUCUUGCGCAAUGGGCGAAAGCCUGACGCAGCCAUGCCGCGUGAAUGAUGAAGGUCUUAGGAUUGUAAAAUUCUUUCACCGGGGACGAUAAUGACGGUACCCGGAGAAGAAGCCCCGGCUAACUUCGU
rnacentral:rRNA from 1 species